rnacentral:rRNA from 1 species
AUUGAACGCUGGCGGCAGGCCUAACACAUGCAAGUCGAGCGAGCGGCGGACGGGCGAGUAAUGUAUCGUGACUGCCCGUAAGAGGGGGAUAACUACUGGAAACGGUAGCUAAUACCGCAUACUAUCGGAUAACCCAUAUGGGAUUAGCUAGUAGGUGAGGUAAUGGCUCACCUAGGCGACGAUCCCUAGCUGGUCUGAGAGGAUGAUAGGCCACACUGGGACUGAGACACGGCCCAGACUCCUACGGAGGCAGCAGGGGGGAAUAUUGCGCAAUGGGCGCAAGCCUGAUGCAGCCAUGCCGCGUGUAUGAAGAAGGCCCUAGGGUUGUAAAGUACUUUCAGUCGGGAGGCGUUACCGACAGAAGAAGCACCGGCUGACUCCGUGCCAGCAGCCGCGGUAAUUC